CCGUUCAGGGGUAAACCUGAGAAACCCAAAAGAUCGAAUGAGGAGAUUCAUCGUCAGCUCAUUUUGUAUAUGUAUAANGUUAUGAUGUGAGUUACUCUNUGUAGUAUUGCUUGUACAUACUUGUGCAUUUAUUUGCAAGAUGUUGUCGGCGUGCACUUCUCCUCUAGUAGGACGUCGCGACCCGUUGGGUGUUGGUCUACGACCCGAGUGGGAGACUUUAAUGUUUUNAUAAUAUUAAAGACCCUUGGUGUUUUCUGACCGGCUGCCCGGCGGUACUCGUACGGUAUUUAGCCGCAUUUAUUUGNNCGUCCAUGUCCAUCGCAAGCGAGGCUAAUUUCUGGUAGUNGCGGACCUGGUGCCGUCGCUGGAGUUGGCCAGCUGUUGGUUGUAUGGAAAUCUAGGACUGGCUAAAAAUAAUUACCGGUCGGCGAUGCUACUGCUUUGGGUACUUUCAGGACCCGUCUUGAAACACGGACCAAGGAGUCUAACAUGU
rnacentral:rRNA from 1 species